rnacentral:lncRNA from 1 species
UGUACUUUCUGUGAGGACAAUGAAAUAUUUGUUUGCCUAUCUAUAUGUAUCUAUCUCUAUCAACUCAUUUUUAGGGAAAAGAAAUCUAUUUUUGCAAUGAAAUACAAUAGGGCAUAUUGAUUCAUUUAAAAAUCAUCAAUAUUUGCAAGAUGGGGAAGAUGUACAAGUUAUCAUAAUAAACGAGUAAGAGUCGAACUAUUUAUAAACAUUAACAAACCCAACGUGGCGCCACUAUCCUCGGACAUAUUUUUGAAUAUACAGUUCGGGUAGAAGAAUUCAGCUCCAAUAAAAAGAGAUUGGAUAGGGAUGACCAUGGUUUUAAAAACAAGUUUGGACUAUUCAACGUUAACCCUAAUUAUUGGAUUUAUUACAUCAGCGGAAUUAAUUGAAUUGAGUAAAUGGUUAGCCAAAAAAAUACCCCAGAAGGAAGAAAAAAUCAACUCCCUAUUGGAAUUAUUAACUCGUUAAUACUGUGACUGUCUUCUCUUUUCCUACUCUUUUUUUCUCUGUAUCUAGUCUAUUACAUUCAUGAAGUUUAUGGAAACAAAUAUCCCAAAUUGUCACCUCUGUAUUUUUCUAUUUAUAUAGCGUAUGACCCUUACUCCCCCAGAGUGGUCAUGUCGUUUGUGAGCCUCCGCUGACAGAAGUCCUUGUCAACCUUUCUGUAUCAAUGUUUUAAUGAGUAGCUGGUCCUAUAAUUAAAUUGAAUAAUGUUCUUUCUUAAUUCGGUAAUGUGGAUUAUUUUUUCCAUUCAAUAAAUAUAUUUGUUCCUAGACUUAAGGUAAUUAUCUUACCUUGCCAAUUUGUACAAUUUAUAUGCCAACAUAGAUCUAUAUAACUCAUAAAGUGUACCAAUAUUUUAAUAUAAUCAUCUGCUAAUUCCCUUCAAAUAAUUACGCAAGUAUAUUCCUGGAAUUUUUAGCCACCUUAAUAUGUUAUUUGUCCUUUCUUGUUGUAAUAUAUGAUUAUGGUUCUAAAUUAAAAGCAUUUUUGGUAAGUAAGAAACGAUAAUUAACAUAGUAACCCUUACAUUUUGAAAAAAGUUUUAGAGGAGAGUAGCUUAACUACCAUAAAUUCCAUUAGAUUUGUAAGGAUAUAGACAAGAAUUACUUCAAUGUCGAUCCUCAAUUUUACUAUGAGUUCAAAAAGGAUUUACCCUGACAACUCUCCAAGAAAUCUUUAGUAUAACUCGCCAUCAUUCAUUAGCACACAAGCUCAUGGUUAAAUGUUAUACUUAGAUAUUAUCUCCAUAAAAAAUCCUAGCAAUAACACUGUCUAAUAGCAAAAAUGGUACAAAAACAU